rnacentral:rRNA from 1 species
UUGACCUCAAAUCAGGUAGGAUUACCCGCUGAACUUAAGCAUAUCAAUAAGCGGAGGAAAAGAAACUAACAAGGAUUCCCCUAGUAACUGCGAGUGAAGCGGGAAAAGCUCAAAUUUGAAAUCUGGCGGUCUCCGGCCGUCCGAGUUGUAAACUAGAGAAGUGCUAUCCGUGCUGGACCAUGUAUAAGUCUCCUGGAACGGAGCGUCACAGAGGGUGAGAAUCCCGUCUUUGACAUGGACUGCCAGUGCAUUGUGAUGCGCUCUCAAAGAGUCGAGUUGUUUGGGAAUGCAGCUCAAAAUGGGUGGUAAAUUCCAUCUAAAGCUAAAUAUUGGCGAGAGACCGAUAGCGAACAAGUACCGUGAGGGAAAGAUGAAAAGAACUUUGGAAAGAGAGUUAAACAGUACGUGAAAUUGUUGAAAGGGAAACGCUUGAAGUCAGUCGCAUUGGCUGGGAUCAACCUUGCAUUGUGAGGUGUACUCCCUGGUCAAUGGGUCAGCAUCAGUUUUGGCCGCCGGAAAAAGGUUGGGGGAAUGUGGCAUCUCUGGAUGUGUUAUAGCCCCUGAUUGUAUACGGUGGCCGGG